rnacentral:lncRNA from 1 species
AUUCAGAAAUUGCCCAAGCAUAUGCGAAUUAGGCGUUUCACUUAGUAUCUCAUCAGUCUUUUGAAGUACACCAUUGAUGCCCUUGGCUGGAUCAGUAAGGUGAAUCUCAGCUCCAAGAGCCAGCAGCACAAUUCUUCUCUCAAGACUAUAUGACGCAGGCAUGAUGAGUAUAACCUUGUAGCCCUUCACUGCAGCAAUUGCAGCCAAUCCAAUGCCAGUGUUACCACUCGUAGGUUCAACGAGGAUGGUCUUAAUUUGCCAUUAUGUUUGAACAUCCACAAAAACAGGAACUUGUUAAUCUUUCUCUAAAUUUCUUUCGUUGAAUGAAAAGCACUUAGCGUAAGACUAACCUUUCCUGGAGUAAUCAAGCCUCUAUCUUCUGCAUCUUUGAUCAUGCUGUAUGCAAUUCUGCAGAAACAAAAUGAAAAAUCCAUUGUUUUAAUUCCAAAACAAAAAAUUUUCAGCAUUGACAUAAAGAAAAUAUGCAUAAGAGGUGGAAAACUAUACCUGUCUUUAACACUUGAUGUAGGUUCCAUCGUUUCAAGCUUGGCAACAAUGCGGGCUACACAACCACCCACAACAUGAUUGAGAUACACCAUAGGAGUGUUACCUAUCAACUGCAUGAGCACCAGAGAAAAGGGAUGAUGAAGAAGAAGACCCACAAGCUAUAAAGUAAAAUUUUUGUUACAUAUGUCCACUGUCGAAAUGAAAAGGACAGAAACUAUACUUCAGUAAUAUCUUUCUUGAUUUCACAGUUGUCCUCCAUAUCUUCCUAGCAAUUCUGCAAGCAGAUACAGAAGAAGCAGGUAAAGAAGUAGGAUGAAUUAGAGAGAGAGAUUACAAUCCCAUGCAAAUGCAAAGGAAUUAAGACAACCACGAAUAGAAGAGAGCUUUUGAAUACGUUUCCUAUGGCAGAUAUCCAACUCCAUGGAUGAACUCAUCAAAUCAGAUUAAAGUUACCCACCACAAAUUAGAAGCAGAACUAGGAUGGGACAUCGUUGACUGAACUUCGCAUCUAAACAAGUAAAAAUAAAACUGACUACUACUCUCAAUUAUUCUUUCUACAAAAACAGAUCAGAGAAACACCAGAGAAGGGGGAAAACAAUAUCAGACACCCAAAACUUCAACAGACAUCAUCAUCAAGAAUCAAAACGAAGCACAAGUACAGCGUCAGUACAGAUAAAUCACAGUACCCAAUAUCAGUAGCAGCUAUUUUUAACAAGAACAGCAAUAAUUUUCUGUUACCUGUAUCAAGUUCCUGCCCUUACAGUAGAGACAGAAAGACAGAGAACAUGAGCUACAAAGCUGAGCAGAGAAUAUAAUCUCUCUCUAUAUUCCAAAUAUAAUCUCUCUCCAUAUUCCAUUAAUAGAUAUUAAAAUGGAAACUGAAAAAGACAAGUCAUUUGGCAACAUGCUUCUCUUUGUUUAGGUCAUUCUUUACCUCUAUUUUCUCUCUCCUCUUUCCUCUAUAACUUGUAUUCAUGAUGAUAAUAGAAGAAGUAAAGUAAACCCAAUAUUUUUAAUAAAAAAUUGGUUUUCAUACUGUGAAUUUUCCGUUCGUGCUCUUAGUAUCAAAGUUUGAGGCUACCGUUCACCAUAAAGUCAGUGAAUUGGUUGGACCAAGAAGCUGCAAUUAUAUCCGCAUGUUUUAAUUUUUCAACCACAUCCCAACUGUCCUUAAAAAAAAAAAAAAAAAAAGAAAUACUUUCACCGAUUUAUAUAUUUUCCGAUAUAAUCAGAUGACUGAAAAGAUAAUGUUCAUAUGGAUACAUUUCUCUUUUGCCUCUCCUCUCUAUAAUUGAUGGGUUUUAUUGUGAAUGACAAAAUGAGCUUGAUGCUACUGAUAUGUGAUCUGAAAUUAAAAUUUUAUGUAUGUAAUUGUCAAUUAUCUAAAAAAUAAUGCCUUUUCUUUUCAAUUGGCUAUUUUAUAAUUCAGCAGGCAAAUUUGACUCUUUUUAGUUCAGGUCCUCAAGCAAGAGGAGAAUUUAACUGCUCUGCUGCCUAUUUAGGCAUUAUGUUAAAGCAAAGACGUUUACAAAACGAAAAAUUAUUAUUUAAUUUUUGAGUACUAAUUUUAAAAAAUAUAUUAAAUUAUAGAUUACAUUUUAAAAGGUUUGUUAAUUAAUUAUAGAAAAAUUUAAAAUAUUUUUAAUAUAAAAACUAAUUAGUAGAUAUUUUUAUAAAUUUAAGAGAUUAAUUAAUAAAUUUUUUCUUUAAAUCUAACUUUAAAAUGAAAAGACUAAUUAAUAAUUUCUCUUUACAAAAUUUUUACAAAAGGGUGGUAAAAUUAUAAGUUAAAAAAGAAUUUCAUGAAGUUCUUCUUGAUUAAAACCAAGAACUAGUAAGCCAUGUUGUCCACUUCAUUCCUAAUAGAAUCAAAAAGCUUGGAAGAUAAGUAGCGUUCUCCAGAACUAGGGAAUAUCACCUGCACAGCAAGUGAAAAAAGUUGCAUGAUUAAUGGAGUUGGAUAUCAAAGUUAUCAGCAAAUCAACUUACUAAAACAGAUAACAGAAUUCCUUUCAUUUAGACAAAAGAACAAGCAUAUUCAAAGCAGUUUGAAUACCAAUUAGAAGGUAAUGAAGCUUACAACAAUGAGUUUCUCAGCAUUUUCAGGCCUUUUUGCCAAUUUGAUUGCAACUGCUGCUGCAGCUCCUGAAGAUAUCCCAACCUGCAGAGAAAAAAGAAGGGAAAUACAAGGGAAAGAGGGCUUUUUAUGCUCUCUUUUUGUAAUAAAAAGUUUUACAAGAAUUAAUUCUUGAUACCUAGCAGGAGAGUGACAUGUUCAUACCAAUAAGCCUUCCUUCAAGGCAAGCAACUUAGUAGUUUCAAUAGCUUCUUCACUUGAUACCUAAAAACAUCAAAAGUAAUAAUUUGAUGUUCUAUGUGCACAGAUAAUAAUUGGCUUGUUAUUAUGUAUCCUUCUGUGUGAUUGAGAAGAUUGAAAAUAAUGAUAUGAGUUCCAAACCCAAUACAAAUUCUUCACAAUUAUUUUUUUUUUUCCCUAGUGCUGCAACUUCAUAGUAGACUUACUUGAAAAACUUCAUCAAGCAUGUCAACUUCCAAAACACUAGGGAUGAUACCAGCUCCAAUUCCUUGGAUCUGAUGUGGGCCUUGGGGACAGAUAGCAAGCAAUAUUCCCAUAAAGGAACAGUCAAUAAUCACAACACUGUCCAUCUUAAAAGCAAUUAGAUGAAAAAUACUUUAGACUUUUAAAAAAAAAAUUAUUACUCACCAUGUUUUCCUCCACUCAAGACUGCACUUUCAGCUGGUUCUAUACCAUACACCUGAAGCAUAGACAAAAGAAAGCACUCCAUUAACUUGUAUAACCUUAACUUCUCAUUCUCUGUGUCUCAAGAAGCCAUCUGUAACAGGGCCAUAUAAUUGGGAAUAAAGGCAAGCAUCUCUGAAUACUCAAAGUUUCAUAUCCGAGACUAGUUUUUAAGAAACUAAUAGUGUUUUCUCUUGCUCAAAAUACAGACACACAGAACAAACCUUAAUCUCUUUGUUUUUCUCCUUGAGAAAUCUUCCGGCUCCGGUUGCAGUGCCACCAGUACCGAUCCCGGCUACCAGGGCAUCAACUUUCCCUCCUGAGUCUCUCCAUAUUUCAGGGCCAGUGGUUUCAUAAUGAAUCUAUAAAAUAACAACAAAACUGAUGUGUAAGUGUAAGUCCUUUUCACCAAUGCACACUGCAAUAGAAGAAGAAAGUGAAUACAUUUGGAUUGGCAGGAUUUUCAAAUUGCUUAAGCAUAUACCCAUCAGGUGUUUUACUUAAAAUCUCCUGUGCUUUUUUAAGUCCGCCCUCAAAGGCCUUGGCUGGGUCAGUAAGGUGAAUCUCAGCUCCAAGAGCCCGAAGCACAACUCUUCUUUCAAGACUCAUUGAAGCAGGCAUGGCGAGUAUAACUUUGUAACCCCUUAUUGCAGCAAUU